UUAAUUUAGAGAAAAUUUUUAAUCUAUCUCGUCCCUCCUAAACUCCCUAAAUCUAAAAAACCAUAACUUCACCAAAUUCACAAAACUCUAAUCUAACUGCGUCGUCUUAUCAACCCCGACUCUUCUCUCAGCCACUCCUCUCUUAUCUUUAUCUUACAAUCCAACACAAUCUCUUACUAUCUAACUCAAUUUUUCCCUCUCAAUCUUGCCUCUCUUCAACUACCCGAAGGAGAAAGGAAAACAAAGAAGACUCGCCCAUUUGAGUCGUUGCGAGCCGAAAAGCGUACUGACGAGCGCGUUUCGAUCCGCGAAGGCAAUCGCUCGAAUGUUCCCCUAACCCAACCCGGGAACGGAACAGACUGGAGGGAACCACAGUGAAUCAUCGCUUUUGGGCGCAGGCAGCCCUCUACCAUCCAUCCCAUUGCAUUCCAUCGUCUCGCUGGCUCAACUGAACAAUACAGGUUUCGCUUCCUCUCCCUUGCGGUUGAGCCUGCUCUCGAUCCAACUUAAUUUUUCCCUCUCAAUCUCGCCUCUUUUUAAUCCAUAACCUUAAAAUCUUUCUAUUACAAUCCAACAGAAUCUCACGCGGCCGUGAAAUUCUAGCCACUUUUUUGCCUAAUGCCAAUCUUCGUCAUCGAGAAAAAUGAUUUGAGGGUUUAAUUUAGCUCCAAGAUCAUGGACGGAUGCCUUGGUCAAAGUUAAAGAGUGUUGUUAGAGGUUGUUUAAAGAAGAAGAAGCAGAAGCACCACUUAGGUGAAGCAGUUGUAGAUCUGGGCAUGGUAAAUAAAUAAGGUGAGCAUUAGCUAAAUAAUUAAUAAUUAUUAAAUAUUCUCUACUUAUAUGUGAAUUUAGUAAGAAAUUAAUUUAGUUCUUUUUGUUGAAUUUUAAGUAGGUUUACUAAUUCUUUUAUUUUUAUUCAGUUAAUACACGGUUUUAGAAUUUUUUUUUCCACGUUUUGAUUUAUUGAUAUGUGAAUGGUAAAAGUUGUGUUAGUCAUUCAUAGUUUUUAGAGACUGGUAUGGGGUCUGCAAAGUGUUUGAUGAGAUGCUUGUGAGAAUUGUUGGGUGCGUUUCAAUUAGUUGACAUGGUUAGCAAAUUAUAUGCUAACAGGGUACCCAAAUCUCCCCCUUCUCUUCAGGGUAAUUCCAUGCAUUUCUUCUUCCUCUGUUUACACUCUCCUCAUUAUUUUUGGUAGAUAUGUCAUUGUUCUAUAUUAAUGUGUACAAGAUUUCUAUUUUUGGGUUUUGUGUUUCUUUUAUGAUCUUGCUUAUCUACUCUUUCGAAUGGAUGAACAAAAUGUUAUUGGAGGAGAUAAGCAGCUGGUUCACUAGGGGGAAAAAAGUUGUUAGCUUUUGAUUGACUCGUUGUUUUGAGAACGAAGUACCUCUGUUUUUAUUAUAUACAUUAAACGGAAAAAGGCUUAAGCUUUUAUGAAUAAAAAUUCUUACUUUUGCUGUGUACUUACUCUUUGUGAUGAGAUUCUUCUGCUUUGAUUUUGUUUUGGAAGAAAGCCUGGGAUCAGUGAUGUCAAUUAGCACAAGUAGAAAAUGAUAAUAUAAUGUUUUACGUGUCUUUCUUUCAUAGUACAUGGAAACUAUGUAUGAGUGCGUAAGAGAGAAAUCAUGAAAUAAAUAACUUGGCGAUGACCGUGUCGUCGUCGACGGUCUUGUCAUCAUCGGCAGUGGUACUGUUGAGAGAAGAAAGAAAG
rnacentral:lncRNA from 1 species